UACGGAGGGUGCGAGCGUUGUCCGGAAUCACUGGGCGUAAAGGGCGCGUAGGUGGCCUGUGGAAGUCUGCGGUGAAAGCCCGGCGCUCAACGCCGGGUCGGCCGUGGAUACUCUCGGGCUUGAGCUUACUAGAGGCAGAUGGAAUUCCGGGUGUAGCGGUGGAAUGCGUAGAGAUCCGGAAGAACACCGGUGGCGAAGGCGGUCUGCUGGGGUAAUGCUGACACUGAUGCGCGACAGCGUGGGGAGCAA
rnacentral:rRNA from 1 species